GUAGAUUCAAAGUACGACAACCUCCUCCAUCGACUGGUAUCAAAGUUUUGUUUAAUCAUGGUCCUUGAAUUUUGACUACCAUUUACGGUGUUCAAAGCGUGUAUUGUUCAUGGUCAGCGAGGGAAUAAAGAAAAGAAUAAAGCUAUUUAAUUGUGAA